AGAAUCAACGCUGGCGGCGUGCCUAACACAUGCAAGUCGAACGAGAAAGUGGAGCAAUCCAUGAGUAAAGUGGCGCACGGGUGAGUAACACGUGACUAACCUACCCGUUGAGUGGGGAAUAAACUUCGGGAAACCGAGGCUAAUACCGCAUAACGACCUACGGGUCAAAGGAGCAAUUCGCUUUGGGAGGGGUCGCGGCCGAUUAGUUAGUUGGCGGGGUAAUGGCCCACCAAGACGAUGAUCGGUA
rnacentral:rRNA from 1 species